rnacentral:rRNA from 1 species
UUAAGUCAGAAGUGAAAUCCAAUAGCUCAACUAUUGAACUGCUUUUGAAACUGAUUACCUAGAAUAUGGGAGAGGUAGAUGGAAUUUCUGGUGUAGGGGUAAAAUCCGUAGAGAUCAGAAGGAAUACCGAUUGCGAAGGCGAUCUACUGGAACAUUAUUGACGCUGAGACGCGAAAGCGUGGGGAGCAAACAGGAUUAGAUACCCUGGUAGUCCACGCCCUAAACGAUGUACACUAGUUGUUGUGAGGCUCGACCUUGCAGUAAUGCAGUUAACACAUUAAGUGUACCGCCUGGGGAGUACGGUCGCAAGAUUAAAACUCAAAGGAAUAGACGGGGACCCGCACAAGCGGUGGAGCAUGUGGUUUAAUUCGACGAUACACGAAGAACCUUACCUGGACUUGACAUAGUAAGAACUUUCUAGAGAUAGAUUGGUGUCUGCUUGCAGAAACUUAUAUACAGGUGCUGCACGGCUGUCGUCAGCUCGUGUCGUGAGAUGUUGGGUUAAGUCCCGCAACGAGCGCAACCCUCGUCAUUAGUUGCUAACAGUUCGGCUGAGAACUCUAAUGAGACUGCCUACGCAAGUAGGAGGAAGGUGAGGACGACGUCAAGUCAUCAUGGCCCUUACGUCCAGGGCUACACACGUGCUACAAUGGGGUAUACAAAGAGCCGCAAUACGGUGACGUGGAGCAAAUCUCAAAAAUAUCUCCCAGUUCGGAUUGUAGUCUGCAACUCGACUACAUGAAGUUGGAAUCGCUA